rfam:Triticum aestivum genome assembly, contig: Triticum_aestivum_CS42_TGACv1_scaffold_578150_7BL
UAUGUACUCCCUCCGUCCAAAAAAACUUGUCCCAAGCUUGUCCCUCAAAUGAAUGUAUCUAGCACUAACUUGGUGCUAGAUACAUCCAUUGGAGGGACAAGUUUUUUCGCAUAGAGGGAGUAGUAU